rnacentral:rRNA from 1 species
GUGAACGCUGGCGGCAGGCCUAACACAUGCAAGUCGAGCGGCAGCGGGUCCUUCGGGAUGCCGGCGAGCGGCGGACGGGUGAGGAAUGCGUCAGAAUCUGCCUUUUUGUGGGGGAUAACGUAGGGAAACUUACGCUAAUACCGCAUACGACCUACGGGUGAAAGUGGGGGACCGCAAGGCCUCACGCAGAAAGAUGAGCCGACGUCGGAUUAGCUAGUUGGCGGGGUAAAGGCCCACCAAGGCGACGAUCCGUAGCUGGUCUGAGAGGAUGAUCAGCCACACUGGAACUGAGACACGGUCCAGACUCCUACGGGAGGCAGCAGUGGGGAAUAUUGGACAAUGGGCGCAAGCCUGAUCCAGCCAUGCCGCGUGUGUGAAGAAGGCCUUCGGGUUGUAAAGCACUUUUGUCCGGAAAGAAAUCCUGUCGGCUAAUACCCGGCGGGGAUGACGGUACCGGAAGAAUAAGCACCGGCUAACUUCGUG